UACGUAGGGUGCAAGCGUUGUCCGGAAUUAUUGGGCGUAAAGAGCUCGUAGGCGGUUUGUCGCGUCGGAUGUGAAAUCCCAGGGCUUAACCCUGGGCCUGCAUUCGAUACGGGCAGACUAGAGUUCGGUAGGGGAGACUGGAAUUCCUGGUGUAGCGGUGAAAUGCGCAGAUAUCAGGAGGAACACCGAUGGCGAAGGCAGGUCUCUGGGCCACUACUGACGCUGAGAAGCGAAAGCAUGGGGAGCGAACAGG
rnacentral:rRNA from 1 species